CUCUCUGUCUGGCCUGCUCCCCGGGAGAGUCCUCCCCUAGGACUCUGAAAACAAAGCUCCUUUACUAACCUCGCCUCAUAAUCACUAAUAACAGUGAUUAUUUCUCUCUUCUGCCCAACCCCACAGCCAGCGCUAGUGCUCAAGCCUGACAACCAGCAGUUAGUUCAGGGGAGAAGGACAGAACCCUCCCAGGUCCUCACCAGCUCUUCCCUCAGAACCAGCUCCUGUGGGUCAUCUCUCCCUGACCUCAAAAUUACCCCCCAGGAUGAGAAAGCAAAGGCUAGAGAGGAGCAAGGACUCACAGAAGGCCACUGCUGCUGGCCUGUCCCCUUUCCUCAUGUGGUGCCGGAAUCCGGGAAGAGACUGAGCCGCAGCAAAGACAUGUCUAAAGGUCAAUGACAGCAGGUUUCAAAUGCAACUGUGAAAAUGUCAAACAUCAGAUAAACCUGGCUGCCUCCAAAAAAACAUCAACAACAUGAAGCCAUGAGAAAAGGAUCAAGAGAAAAAUGGCCAUUCUGUUCUAUUCCACGGAGGGAAAUGCAGCCCUGGGAUCUCCAGGGCCUCUCCUGUCACCCAGGCCACACCAGGCCUUGCUCCUGUGGGUGCCACACACCAAUGCCUUUGGCUGUUCAGACAAUGGUCAGCUGGUGAAACUCCCACUGACGCCCUCCUUCCCUGCACCGGCCCCCACCUGCUGCAUCUUCAAACUCCUAAGUGAUUCACCCAGUGUCGCCUGCUCAGCAGCGCUUGCUCUAAUGCUCAGCUAAUAGUUCUCUGUUUCAGGCGCUGUCCAAACAUGUCCUAUAAAUCAGAAUCCAAUUACGGCACUAAGAAAAUUGGAAGCAACUUUAAUAAGCUCAGACCCCUCCCACAUGCUGUUUCUUCAGUCUUCUCUUUUCAGUAAUGAGAAUUCUUUAAGGGAAAAGGCUUCUUUUAACUGAGUCUGUUCUCUCCAUCUCUUACCUGAAGUCCCCGAGGACAGAAAGAUAACAGGAAGGGGACUGCUUCCAGCUCCUCUUUUGCUCUUCACAUAUAAAGCAGAUAUGAAGAGCAGUUUCAGACUUACUCCCCCUUAAAAUGUUCAACACACAUUUAAUGACUUGCACGCCAGGCACUGUAGUAGAUGCUGUCAAAGCAUUACUCACCCUGGAGGGCAACUGCUGUCACGACUAGUAGAACCUUAGCUGCAAGGCCUGAUGGGAACGCAAGGGUAGGCCAGUGGUAGUAAGGCUUUGUAGGGUAAAUGAAAUCAGUCAAGAUUUUUACACCACUAGCCUCUGUGGCUGUCACCUGCACGCUUGAUCAUGUUAAUGCAGAAGGCACUUGGGAGCAUGGGCAGGGGGCAUGCAUGUCUGUGUGGACACCUGGAGCAUGAGCGUGUGUACGUGUGUAAGUGUGCACACCUGAGCCUAGAGGCCAGGGAAAUGAGGACCAGUGGCAUGACUACAGAGAAGUGAGACCAUGAGAGAACACCAGAGAGAGUCCAGAAAAAGAGUAAAGAUUCAUGGGGGCCUGGGAGGUUCAGUUGCCUGUCUGCCUCCCAGCCCCUCACACCUAUCUGGUCUGUGCCUGCCUCCUUGCAUGCCAGCCUCCCUGCCUGGUGUGCCUGUGUACCUGGUUCUCUGAGAGAGCAUUAAAGGCCUGAA